rnacentral:rRNA from 1 species
AAAUUGAAGAGUUUGAUCAUGGCUCAGAUUGAACGCUGGCGGCAGGCCUAACACAUGCAAGUCGAACGGUAACAGGAAACAGCUUGCUGUUUCGCUGACGAGUGGCGGACGGGUGAGUAAUGUCUGGGAAACUGCCUGAUGGAGGGGGAUAACUACUGGAAACGGUAGCUAAUACCGCAUAACGUCGCAAGACCAAAGAGGGGGACCUUCGGGCCUCUUGCCAUCGGAUGUGCCCAGAUGGGAUUAGCUAGUAGGUGGGGUAACGGCUCACCUAGGCGACGAUCCCUAGCUGGUCUGAGAGGAUGACCAGCCACACUGGAACUGAGACACGGUCCAGACUCCUACGGGAGGCAGCAGUGGGGAAUAUUGCACAAUGGGCGCAAGCCUGAUGCAGCCAUGCCGCGUGUAUGAAGAAGGCCUUCGGGUUGUAAAGUACUUUCAGCGGGGAGGAAGGGAGUAAAGUUAAUACCUUUGCUCAUUGACGUUACCCGCAGAAGAAGCACCGGCUAACUCCGUGCCAGCAGCCGCGGUAAUACGGAGGGUGCAAGCGUUAAUCGGAAUUACUGGGCGUAAAGCGCACGCAGGCGGUUUGUUAAGUCAGAUGUGAAAUCCCCGGGCUCAACCUGGGAACUGCAUCUGAUACUGGCAAGCUUGAGUCUCGUAGAGGGGGGUAGAAUUCCAGGUGUAGCGGUGAAAUGCGUAGAGAUCUGGAGGAAUACCGGUGGCGAAGGCGGCCCCGGACGAAGACUGACGCUCAGGUGCGAAAGCGUGGGGAGCAAACAGGAUUAGAUACCCUGGUAGUCCACGCCGUAAACGAUGUCGACUUGGAGGUUGUGCCCUUGAGGCGUGGCUUCCGGAGCUAACGCGUUAAGUCGACCGCCUGGGGAGUACGGCCGCAAGGUUAAAACUCAAAUGAAUUGACGGGGGCCCGCACAAGCGGUGGAGCAUGUGGUUUAAUUCGAUGCAACGCGAAGAACCUUACCUGGUCUUGACAUCCACGGAAGUUUUCAGAGAUGAGAAUGUGCCUUCGGGAACCGUGAGACAGGUGCUGCAUGGCUGUCGUCAGCUCGUGUUGUGAAAUGUUGGGUUAAGUCCCGCAACGAGCGCAACCCUUAUCCUUUGUUGCCAGCGGUCCGGCCGGGAACUCAAAGGAGACUGCCAGUGAUAAACUGGAGGAAGGUGGGGAUGACGUCAAGUCAUCAUGGCCCUUACGACCAGGGCUACACACGUGCUACAAUGGCGCAUACAAAGAGAAGCGACCCUCGCGAGAGCAAGCGGACCUCAUAAAGUGCGUCGUAGUCCGGAUUGAGUCUGCAACUCGACUCCAUGAAGUCGGAAUCGCUAGUAAUCGUGGAUCAGAAUGCCACGGUGAAUACGUUCCCGGCCUUGUACACACCGCCCGUCACACCAUGGGAGUGGGUUGCAAAAGAAGUAGGUAGCUUAACCUUCGGGAGGGCGCUUACCACUUUGUGAUUCAUGACUGGGGUGAAGUCGUAACAAGGUAACCGUAGGGGAACCUGCGGUUGGAUCACCUCCUUACCUUAAAGAAGC